AAAACGCGAUAUGUGGUGUGAAUUGCAGAUUCUCGUGACUCAUCGAACCUUUGAACGCAUUGCGCCAUAGGGGCUUGCCCCUAAGGCACACUUGGUAGAGUGUACACUAUACAUCAUCCCUCCCUUCGGGAAGGGGAAUUGGGCGUCCAGGUCGCUCUUCUGGUCGCUUUAAAUAUUUGAGCAGGGUAGAAAUAAGGGGGAUACCUCAUGAUUUUUUACAGGGGGAGCUAGGUCGCCAGCCAAGCAACACCUUAAGAAGACAUGUGGAAACACCCUUUUCUCCCCUUAGGUAUUUGUUUACCAAGGCAAAACUUUUUUUGUAAAAGGAGCACCUCUACUCAAGUGGGAUUACCCGCCGAAUUUAA
rnacentral:misc_RNA from 1 species